rnacentral:rRNA from 1 species
UAGGGAAUCUUCGGCAAUGGACGAAAGUCUGACCGAGCAACGCCGCGUGAGUGAAGAAGGUUUUCGGAUCGUAAAACUCUGUUGUUAGAGAAGAACAAGGACGUUAGUAACUGAACGUCCCCUGACGGUAUCUAACCAGAAAGCCACGGCUAACUACGUGCCAGCAGCCGCGGUAAUACGUAGGUGGCAAGCGUUGUCCGGAUUUAUUGGGCGUAAAGCGAGCGCAGGCGGUUUCUUAAGUCUGAUGUGAAAGCCCCCGGCUCAACCGGGGAGGGUCAUUGGAAACUGGGAGACUUGAGUGCAGAAGAGGAGAGUGGAAUUCCAUGUGUAGCGGUGAAAUGCGUAGAUAUAUGGAGAAACACCAGUGACGAAGGCGGCUCUCUGGUCUGUAACUGACGCUGAGGCUAGAAAGCGUGGGGAGCAAACAGG